GACGUAGGUGGCGAACGUUAUUCGGAAUUACUGGGCUUAAAGAGUUCGUAGGCGGCAUUGCAAGUAGGGUGUGAAAGCCCUCGGCUCAACCGAGGAAUUGCGCUCUAAACUGCAGUGCUUGAGGAACCUAGAGGUGAGCAGAACAGAUGGUGGAGCGGUGAAAUGCGUUGAUAUCAUCUGGAAUACCGGAGGCGAAGGCGGCUCACUGGGAGUUUUCUGACGCUGAGGAACGAAAGCCAGGGUAGCGAACGGG
rnacentral:rRNA from 1 species